rnacentral:tRNA from 3 species
GGAGAGUUGGCAGAGUGGUCGAAUGCGGCGGUCUUGAAAACCGUUGUACCGCAAGGUACCAGGGGUUCGAAUCCCUUACUCUCCGCCA